GGACGACUGAUCAAUGCUCCACUACCAAAAGGAAGCCAAGCCCUGCCACCCUUUACAACAAAACAAGGUGUGAUCACAUUGAUGCCACAAUGGACGACUGAUCAAUGCUCCACUACCUUUUUUUUUUUUUUUUUUACUUUGAUUUUUAUUAGGUUAUUUUAUCAUUGUGGACAUACAGUAAAGAAAAUAACAAACAGACAUACAAAUGGGUCUAUAAUUCUUGCAGUAUUCUUUGUUUUUUCCUUCUUUGGGUAAGAUUGUUAUAAUAGCUUCUCCCCAUGAUGGUGGAGCUAUUCCCUGAUUCAGAGUCCAGUUGAAGCAAGAUAGAAGAAGUGGCUUGAGUUCUUCUUUGAAAACUUUGUAACUUUGUAGGUGUGAUCACAUUGAUGCCACAAUGGACGACUGAUCAAUGCUCCACUACCUUUUUUUUUUUUUUUUUACUUUGAUUUUUAUUAGGUUAUUUUAUCAUUGUGGACAUACAGUAAAGAAAAUAACAAACAGACAUACAAAUGGGUCUAUAAUUCUUGCAGUAUUCUUUGUUUUUUCCUUCUUUGGGUAAGAUUGUUAUAAUAGCUUCUCCCCAUGAUGGUGGAGCUAUUCCCUGAUUCAGAGUCCAGUUGAAGCAAGAUAGAAGAAGUGGCUUGAGUUCUUCUUUGAAAACUUUGUAACUUUGUAGGUGUGAUCACAUUGAUGCCACAAUGGACGACUGAUCAAUGCUCCACUACCUUUUUUUUUUUUUUUUUACUUUGAUUUUUAUUAGGUUAUUUUAUCAUUGUGGACAUACAGUAAAGAAAAU
ensembl:lncRNA